UUUUUUUUUUUUUUUUUUUUUUAAUGGCUUCGCGCUCCUGGCGCAUUCAGCCAGACGAGUAAAACGGGGAAACGGAAUUAAGGAUUACAUUAAAACGGGUAGGACGGAAUUUUGGAAAAGGAUCAGGAAAAGGUUAAUAAUUCAAAUAAUUUAAAGUUUAAUGUUGUGACGUGAAAUAAAAGAAUACAAUGAUUUAAAUAUAUAUGAAGAUGAAUCAUUAAUAUACAGGAGUGUUGUAAUAGAUGUGGGAAACGGAACUUUUAAAUCUGACAGCUGUCUUAAUAAUAUAGAACGGUCAUAUAGGUUACAAUUACCAGAAAAAAAGAUAUGAUUAAGAUCAGCGGGAUCAGUUCCACAAAUACAUGCAGAACUGGCCACACGAUUUUGUAGUUUCAGGUGUUCCGGUGUACAUACAUGGCCCAAUCUCAUACGAAUCAACAUACUAGUUGCAGGCUUUGGCAAAGAGAUUUUAGCAAACCAAGAAUUCCAAAGCACUCGCCACUGUACACAGAGGACUCUGGAGGCAACUUUAUUUUUUGGUAAAUAUUAGACUGGGUGUGAAGUACACCAAUGCCAACACACCCAUUGUCAGACAUCUUAGAAGCAUCUGUGUAUAUAUGAUCAGCAGCUAGGCCAUCUGUUCCAAUGAAUCCCAGGAAUUGUUGAUUUUGUUCAACAUCAUUCUUAGAAAUGCCGAUAUUAAGGAGAACUGAAGGAUCAAGUAUUACAGAUUCAUAUUCAUACUGGAAAAUGGGAAGUGUUGAAGAGCUAACAGUGGGAGCUGAAAUAGAUUUAAGUUUUUGAAAACUUUUAAUCAAACAUGGAGGACUCUUGUGCUUCCAGUAGUUAGAAGUAGUUAUUUGAAGCAGGAGGUUAGACAAGAUAACCCAGAGUUGAUGAUUAGAAAAUUGGGAGCAGCGGAAAAUAAACCUAUCACAAAGAUAUUGGCGUCGUAAAUGGAGUGGAGGCUCAGCACACUCAACUUGCAUAGCAUUGAUAGGGCUUGAAUUCAUGGCACCGCAUAUCAUUCUCAGGGCUUUUGAUUGAAUACGAUCUAAUUUUUGGAAGCCUGCUACAAAUCCUGGCUCUAACAAAAAUGUUCCAUAAUCUAGAAUACUUCUUAUCAAGGCAUUAUACAUUAAUUUUAUGCAAAGAGGAUGCGAACCCCACCAAACUCCUGAAACACACCUAAGGAUAUUAAUAUUUUUUUCACAUUUAGAAACUAUGUAAUCACAAUGUGGAAGACCUGUUAAUUUAUUAUCUAAAAUAACACCUAGGAACUUGGUUUUAUCUUUAAUGGGAAUGGAGCAGUUAUUAAAUUGCACAUUGAUUGGAGGAGGAAACAGUUUUCUAGUAAACAAAACUACAACACUUUUAGGAACUGAGAGUUCCAGACCAUUUGAAUCUAACCAUAACUUCAAUAAACCCAAAGAACAAGUAAUGGAUCUACUGGCCUGUUCAAUAGAAAGGUUUGGUGAAUAUAAUAAUAAAUCAUCAGCAUAUUGCAAAAUUCUGACAGUGCCAUUUAAGGAUGACUCUAAAUCGGAUGUGUAGAUAUUAUAUAGCAAUGGACUUAAUACGGAACCUUGUGGAAGACCUCUCCAAACUAAACGGGAAAUCCUAUUGUUGUCAUCUAUAAGAAGGCUAAUGGACCUUUCUGAUAAAAGAUUUAUUAUGAAAUUGCUUAACAUUAUUGGUACAGCUAAUCUAUGAAGUUUUGCUUGUAAUACUGAGACUAAAACAUUAUCAUAAGCGGCACUUAUAUCAAGAAAAGCAGCUACUACAGACUCAUUUCUAGAAAAUGCUAAUCUAAUUUCUGCAACUAAUAUACCCAAACUAUCAUAGGUAGAUCUACCUUUUCGGAAUCCAAACUGACUAUGAGAAAGUAAUUGGUUUUUUUCUACAAAAUAUUCUAAUCUGUUUUUAAUCAAAUGUUCUGCUACUUUAACAAAUACUGAAGAAAGGGCAAUUGGACGAUAAGAAGAAACAUCUGUUGCUUGUUUGUUGGGUUUUAAUAUAGGAAUAACUAUUUGAGAUCUCCAAGAAUCCGGGACUGUACCAGAUUGGAUGACAAAAUUUAUUAUAUUCAGAUAAUAAGAGAGAAUACCAUCACUAGCAUUUGCUAAAAAGGAAUAUGGGACUCCAUCAUCCCCAGGGAAAAUUUCAUCAGCUGCUUCGGUAAUCGUCUGGGCUAAGGCAACUGAGCAGCUAACUACAUUACUAGCAUCUAUAGUGGGCAAACACAACAAUUUCUCCUCUACGCGGCUUUUGAAAAGUUUCCAAUCAACAUUACUUAAAUUAUACUUAAGCCUAGGGCUAGGUUUUGGAGAUGGAGGAAUGGAAGUUGGAAAUGUAAUAAUAAUAGGGUAGUGAUCACUCCCAUAUGUUGAAUCUAAGGUAUGCCAAGAGAGAGAGGAUGCAAGAUCGACCGAACAAAUAGAUAAAUCAAUAGCGCUAAUUGACUCUGUUGGCGCUGUUCGGCGGGUUGGAGAGCCAGUGUUUAAAACACAAAGGUUGUGUUCGUCUAAGAUAUGUAUGAGACGAUCUCCAUUAUAAUUAGAUGAUGAACUACCCCAAAACUGGUGAUGCGAGUUAAAGUCUCCUAAAAUUAACACGGGCCUAGGGAGAGAAGAAAUUAUUUGUUCAAGCUCAUCAAAAAUGGAUGAUGAUGGAUGAGGUAUAUAUACAGAAAUGAUACAGAUGUUAUUUACAAUGGCAGCAACAAUUGAAAAAUCAUCGCUAUGGGAUGGAAGAUUAUAAGGUGAAAAUGAAAUGGAAUUCCUGACGAGUAGAGCUACACCGCCCCAUCCGCCAGGACGGUCCUCUCUGAGACAUGAAUAUCCAGUAGCUCUAAGAAGAGCUCCAGGCUUUAGCCAUGUCUCAGAGAGGGCAAAAACAAAAGGUUGAAAUUUGUUUAAUAAAUGUAUUAGAUCUUG